ACGUGAGACCACCAAGUUCACUGCUUCAAGCAGCUUAGAGUCCAGAGGGCAUGGACACAUGCCGGAGCCAGGACAAGAAGAGCCACCAGAAAGAAGGCUAGGCAUUAAGGAACAGCAAGUGCAAAGUUCCUGAGGGAACAAGCAGACAGAGUCUCACUACGUUGCCCAGGCUGUUCUCCAACACUGGGCUAGUGAUCUUCCUGCCUUGGCCUCCCAAAGUGCUGGGAUUACAGGUGUGAGCUGCAAGGCUAGGUCCUCGGGCUCCUCAGGCCCUGGGCCCCCUCCCAGGAAUGAGUCCCGCCGCUCCAGCACAAAGGGGAAGAAGCCCUCGUCGCCGCUGGGAGAGGCGCCCCCUGAGAGCGGCCCGGACGGGAAGCUGGGCCCAUCUGGAGAGCUCAUGUCACCUGCAGCAUCUGCGGGGACAGGUGGCUGCGGGACACUCUACUCUGCAGCCUGACAGGGGCUCACCCUCCGCCCAGCACCUGGCCCUCCAGGAAUUCUCCACCUGCUGCCAGCCUGCCCGGUCCUGCAGCCAGGGCUUCCUGGGCCACAAAGGGUUAAUGACCUGUGUUUUGGCUACCCAGUUCCGUUAAUGUCCCUGGGGUAAACUGAGGCAGGAAGCAGAAGGAAAUGACCUGCCCAGCCUUUGGCCUCUGCCAGACAAUCUCUGUCCCCAGGAAAGCUCAUUCCAGUGCUCCAGGGCCACAGGCCACCUCUGCUCCCUGUCCCCUCUCUUCCCAGAACCCAGCAGUUUGGCUUGUAGCCCCUCGCCAUCUGAGACAGUUCCCAGAACCCAGGUUCUCAGGGACUCAGCAGUUGGAGUUGGGCCCAGCCUCUUCUCUCAGGAAUGCAGGACCCUAAGGCUUGGGAACUGAGGUAUCUUCGCCCCCAGGAAUCCAGCUCCUUCCCCUGCCAGAAGCCCAGAUCCCAGCCCCUGACCUCCCGGGUCUCUCGCCCUCAUUCUCCUGCUACCUCCUGAGCAGGUGCUUUGACUCCACCCUCCAGACUCAGAGGUCCCCACCUCCAAUGUCCCCCACCAAGGAUUCCCACCCCAGUCCCCAUUUUCCACGGGACUCAGGCAUUCAUGCCCCCACCCCUCCGGACUCAGGAGCCCUGACCCUCAGCCCCCCAGUUUCCCAGGGCCCUGGCGUGGGGCCCAGGACAGGGCGAGGUAACAGGUUGUGCCGGCCGCCCGGCCGCAGCGCGGCUCGGAGUUUCUGUUUACUUCCCGGUCCGCCCCUGGGGACGGGAGCCCUGGGCUCCCCUAGGGCGGCUCAGGGGCUGGGGUUCAGGGGCUCGGGUCAGAGGGCCCGACACAACAGCUUUACCAGCCCCAGCCCUCCGGGGGCUCACCACCCACUAGGCACACACACCCGUGCUCUCCCUCCUCCUCUCGCCCGGUGUCCAUGUGCAGCCCUGCUCGCAGGACGUGAGUGUCACGGUGGUCCCAGCCCAGCCGCCCCCAGGCCGCUCCCGGGGACCUCCCUGACUUGGCCCUCGCGGGCCCCGCUCCCCCGCCCCCCUCCACGCGAGAGACAGGGACCUGGAGACCGCUCCCCCUCCCCUUCCGCACCUAGCUGCCCAGGUGUUGGGGCCUCCAGCCCCAGGCGUCGGAAGCCCAGAGAAGCGGCUGGGCUCACCCCCGACGGCUGAGUUCCUGCCGGCGCCCCCGGUUCCCCGGCGAUCCCGGUUCCCCUGCCCCCGCCCCGGCUCCCCCACCUUCUCCGCCGACGCGGCCGGACCAGGCCCUCCCCAGGCUCGAGGGGCCCGGCCCUCGGCGUCCCCCAGGCUCUCACCCGAAGCCGCCGGGCUCCCUCCGAGGUCCCCGCGGUCUCCGGUCCCCUCUUCCGGAGGCGGCUCCAGAGAUGGGAUUUUGCUCUGUCACGCAGGCUGGAGUGCAGUGGCACCAUCACUGCAGUCUCGUCCUCCCAGGCUCAAGCGAUCCUCCCACCACAGCCUCCCCCGUAGCUGGGACUGCAGGCUGGAGUACAGUGGUGCCAUCUCAGCUCACAGCAGCCUCCGCUCCCGGGUUCAAGUGAUUCUCCUGUCUCAGCCUGCCUCCCAAAGUGCUGGGAUUACAGAGUGAGCCACCUCCCCGGCUCAACUUGUUGACUUUCAUGAUGACCUGAUGACGAGGAACUGCUGUCAUCCCCAUCUUACAGAUGAGGAAGCUGAGGCUCGGAGGCGGAGGGGGGUCCUCCACCUUGUUUGGGGUCCCCUGGUCAGAACUGGAAGACUCCAGGGCUCCCUGGGCCUCGUGACAGGGGCUCCUGGCCUGGAGAGCAGGACAGAUGGAAGGCUGGGAGCAGUGGCGUGCUGGUAAGCGUUUAACAACAGGCUCCCCGGCUAAAACAAUAGCCCUCGCUCGUUGCAUUUGCCAAUAUCCAUGAUGCAAUACCUGCUCCUCGGCUGACUUCCAGCUACUCACCUGGCGUCACGGAGUGCAGAGGUAGAAGGGGCUGUGCACAUCAGCUCUGGCUGGCUGGUGUCAGCUGGGUCCGUGCACCUCUGGCUGGGGAUCAGGACUCCUGAGUCUUGGGGGACUGGGGGCUACUUACUUGGGUUCUAGAAAAAUAGGAGGAGGGUGGGGGCUGGGACUCCUGGCUUGUGGGAAAAGGGGAGCAAGGACUCCUUGGAGGGGUGACUUAGGAACUGGGACUCCUGGGUCCUGGGGCUGGGACAGGGUUUUCUGCCAGCAGAGAGUAGGGGAGCCAGAGAUUUGUCUUACAGCCACAUUGCCCAGCAAGCCUGACACUUUCUCCCACUGCACCUGUGGGAGCAGCCUGGUAGCCACUGGAGGACUGAAGACAUCCCAGCCUCCCCUGGGUGCUGCUAUGUGACCCUCUGGAAAUAGAAGCUCAGUGUCCCCUCCAAAUGCCAGUCACCCUGGGCCCCACUCACACCCACACGUAGCACAUCUUGAGCGCCUCCUGCCAGGCUGAGCUCAUCCCAGGAUGAAGUGAUUACAGCCCUACUCCCAGAAGGUUCACAGUCCACCUGGGCCAUGGGAGGGAGCGUAGACCUAUAAACCAGAAAUGAACCAAUAAAACAGUACAGCAAA
ensembl:lncRNA novel transcript, antisense to CCDC64B